UACGUAGGGGGCAAGCGUUGUCCGGAAUUAUUGGGCGUAAAGCGCGUGUAGGCGGCUCGGUAAGUCUGCUGUGAAAGUCCAGGGCUCAACCCUGGAAUGCCGGUGGAUACUGUCGAGCUCGAGUCCGGAAGAGGCGAGUGGAAUUCCUGGUGUAGCGGUGAAAUGCGCAGAUAUCAGGAGGAACACCAAUGGCGAAGGCAGCUCGCUGGGACGGUACUGACGCUGAGGUGCGAAAGCGUGGGGAGCAAACAGG
rnacentral:rRNA from 1 species